rnacentral:rRNA from 1 species
GNCUNNNNGGGANUUGACAGGUUUAGAAAUAGACUCUCCUUCGGGCAAUUUUCAAGGUGCUGCAUGGUUGUCGUCAGCUCGUGCCGUGAGGUGUUAGGUUAAGUCCUGCAACGAGCGCAACCCCUGUCACUAGUUGCUAACAUUUAGUUGAGGACUCUAGUGAGACUGCCUACGCAAGUAGAGAGGAAGGUGGGGAUGACGUCAAAUCAUCACGGCCCUUACGUCUUGGGCCACACACGUAAUACAAUGGCCGGUACAGAGGGCAGCUACACAGCGAUGUGAUGCAAAUCUCGAAAGCCGGUCUCAGUUCGGAUUGGAGUCUGCAACUCGACUCUAUGAAGCUGGAAUCGCUAGUAAUCGCGCAUCAGCCAUGGCGCGGUGAAUACGUUCCCGGG